rnacentral:snRNA from 1 species
GGGACGUUGGGUCGAUCUCAUUGGG